GACGAACGCUGGCGGCGUGCUUAACACAUGCAAGUCGAACGGUGAACCUCUUCGGAGGGGAUCAGUGGCGAACGGGUGAGUAACACGUGGGCAACCUGCCCCCGGCUCUGGGAUAACUCCAAGAAAUUGGGGCUAAUACCGGAUGUUCACCGCUUCCCGCAUGGGUGGUGGUGGAAAGGGUUUCCGGCUGGGGAUGGGCCCGCGGCCUAUCAGCUUGUUGGUGGGGUAGUGGCCUACCAAGGCGACGACGGGUAGCCGGCCUGAGAGGGUGACCGGCCACACUGGGACUGAGACACGGCCCAGACUCCUACGGGAGGCAGCAGUGGGGAAUAUUGCGCAAUGGGCGGGAGCCUGACGCAGCGACGCCGCGUGGGGGAUGACGGCCUUCGGGUUGUAAACCUCUUUCAGCAGGGACGAAGCGCAAGUGACGGUACCUGCAGAAGAAGCACCGGCCAACUACGUG
rnacentral:rRNA from 1 species